CCCGAGGCACACACAUGAGAAGCCACGGCGAGCCGACCCCGACCAAGUGAAAGGACCCUUGAGGUCCCAUGAAGAUCUCUGCAUGCAUGCUGGAGUUUCACGCCAAGAGGGAAUCACCUCCUCCAUGCCAUACAUGCUCCAGCAGUAAAGGGAGACGAACCCGCAAUUCCACAGCUCCUAACACGAAGGCCACGACACUGACGACAUGUGAAACAGACCAAGAAACCGGUACCUCGUAGGAAUUAAGCGCGAGCGAAAUCUCUUUGGUCGUGUCCGACUCUGUGCGACCCCAUGGACUGUAGCCCACCAGGCUCCUCUGUCCAUGGGGUUCUCCAGGCGAGGAUACUGGAGUGGGUUGCCAUGCUCUCCUCCAGGGGAUCUUCCCGAUCCGGGGAUCAAACCCACAUCUCUUACAUCUUCGACAUCAGCAAGCGUGUUCUUUACCACUAGCGCCACGUGGGAAGCUGGUCGGAAUAAAGGGACACCUCAAAACCAGACUCUCCCACGGCCUCACGGGAAGGUCUCAGGCUCCUGUUCAGCUCUGAAAUCUCGGAGUUCUGAAAUGAAGAGAAAAAUAUCCUAUAUUCUAAUUAUGAAGACAGAUAAGAUGUUGGCAUCACCCUCUGCUGACAGUUAUUUUGGAGGAAGUAAGGAAGUUGUAUCCAGAAGCUACCACACUGAGUGGCAUCCCACUACACACACAUACAUGUACCCCACCCUCUUCUCACCCCACCAUCCCGCUGGAGGAAGACUUGGAAAAUAGAGGAUGACUGACUGAGCGAACUUGCUAUCAGCAGGGGGGUGGAUUUGAGUUCAUAAUCUUACCCUGUUGGCUACUGAUACUCAGAACAAGAAACUGUCCAGUGUUUGAGGAUAAUACGGUCAAGAGUAACGCUUGUUAUUCUAAGGGGGAAUGUUUUACAUAAUUCGGCCACUGUUUACAACUCGGUGGGGUUGGAGAAGCCUGAAUUCUCAUCUCAGCUCUGCGGUUAGACUCCAUCUCCCAGUGUCUGAGCCUGGUUGUGGCUGAAGGCCAGGAUGUCCACGCCGGCCUCGUCUCGCCCUCCCGCGGCCUCAGUCCAGCCAGCGCCCCCACCUGCCUGCCAAGGCUUCCUGGUCUGGGAGCCUCCCCAGGCCCUGCAACCACCCACCUCGGAGGGACUGUGCCAAAUACCGCUCCCUGACGCGUCACUCAGCCCUCCCCCUGGGAGAUCCUGGGUCUCCUGCCACCCC
rnacentral:lncRNA from 1 species